GCGAAACUGCGAAUGGCUCAUUAAAUCAGUUAUCGUUUAUUUGAUAGUACCUUACUACAUGGAUAACCGUGGUAAUUCUAGAGCUAAUACAUGCUGAAAAUCCCGACUUCGGAAGGGAUGUAUUUAUUAGAUUAAAAACCAAUGCCCUCCGGGGCUCUCUGGUGAUUCAUAAUAACUUCUCGAAUCGCACGGCCUUGCGCCGGCGAUGGUUCAUUCAAAUUUCUGCCCUAUCAACUUUCGACGGCUGGGUCUUGGCCAGCCGUGGUGACAACGGGUAACGGAGGGUUAGGGCUCGACCCCGGAGAAGGAGCCUGAGAAACGGCUACUACAUCCAAGGAAGGCAGCAGGCGCGCAAAUUACCCAAUCCCGACACGGGGAGGUAGUGACAAUAAAUACUGAUACAGGGCUCUUUUGGGUCUUGUAAUUGGAAUGAGUACAAUUUAAAUCCCUUAACGAGGAACAAUUGGAGGGCAAGUCUGGUGCCAGCAGCCGCGGUAAUUCCAGCUCCAAUAGCGUAUAUUAAAGUUGUUGAGGUUAAAAAGCUCGUAGUUGAACCUUGGGCCUAGCCGGCCGGUCCGCCUCACCGCGUGCACUGGCUCGGCUGGGUCUUUCCUUCUGGAGAACCGCAUGCCCUUCACUGGGUGUGCCGGGGAACCAGGACUUUUACUCUGAACAAAUUAGAUCGCUUAAAGAAGGCCUAUGCUCGAAUACAUUAGCAUGGAAUAAUAGAAUAGGACGUGUGGUUCUAUUUUGUUGGUUUCUAGGACCGCCGUAAUGAUUAAUAGGGACAGUCGGGGGCAUCAGUAUUCAAUUGUCAGAGGUGAAAUUCUUGGAUUUAUUGAAGACUAACUACUGCGAAAGCAUUUGCCAAGGAUGUUUUCAUUAAUCAGGAACGAAAGUUAGGGGAUCGAAGACGAUCAGAUACCGUCGUAGUCUUAACCAUAAACUAUGCCGAUUAGGGAUCGGACGGCGUUAUUUUUUGACCCGUUCGGCACCUUACGAUAAAUCAAAAUGUUUGGGC
rnacentral:rRNA from 2 species